GCAGCUUUAGUAUAGUGGUUAGUAUAUCUCAUUGUGGUUAUUCAACAACUUCUGAGACGACGCAUGUUCGAUUCAUGCAAGCUGCA